UUCGGGCGCCGGCGUGUGGCGAACGGGUGAGUAACACGUGGAGACCUAUCCAUUGGUGGGGGACAACAGCUGGAAACGGCUGCUAAUACCGCAUAAUCCCUACGGGGGAAAGAUUUAUCGCCAUAGGAGGGUUCCGCGUCGGAUUAGCUAGUUGGUGGGGUAACGGCCUACCAAGGCAACGAUCCGUAGCUGGUCUUAGAGGAUGAUCAGCCACACUGGGACUGAGACACGGCCCAGACUCCUACGGGAGGCAGCAGUGGGGAAUAUUGCGCAAUGGAGGAAACUCUGACGCAGCGAUGCCGCGUGGGUGAAGAAGGCCUUAGGGUUGUAAAGCCCUUUCAGUGGGAACGAUGGUGACGGUACCCACAGAAGAAGCCCCGGCUAACUCCGUGCCAGCAGCCGCGGUAAUACGGAGGGGGCGAGCGUUGUUCGGAAUUAUUGGGCGUAAAGCGCGCGUAGGCGGUUUAUUAAG
rnacentral:rRNA from 1 species